rnacentral:rRNA from 1 species
AUUGAACGCUGGCGGCAUGCUUUACACAUGCAAGUCGAACGGUAACAGGCCGCAAGGUGCUGACGAGUGGCGAACGGGUGAGUAAUGCAUCGGAACGUGCCCAGUCGUGGGGGAUAACGCAGCGAAAGCUGUGCUAAUACCGCAUACGAUCUAUGGAUGAAAGCGGGGGACCGCAAGGCCUCGCGCGAUUGGAGCGGCCGGUGUCAGAUUAGGUAGUUGGGGGGGUAAAGGAUCACCAAGCCAACGAUCUGUAGCUGGUCUGAGAGGACGACCAGCCACACUGGGACUGAGACACGGCCCAGACUCCUACGGGAGGCAGCAGUGGGGAAUUUUGGACAAUGGGCGCAAGCCUGAUCCAGCAAUGCCGCGUGCAGGAAGAAGGCCUUCGGGUUGUAAACUGCUUUUGUACGGAACGAAAAGGUUUGGGUUAAUACCCUGGGCCGAUGACGGUACCGUAAGAAUAAGCACCGGCUAACUACGUGCCAGCAGCCGCGGUAA